rnacentral:rRNA from 1 species
UACGAAGGGGGCUAGCGUUGCUCGGAAUCACUGGGCGUAAAGCGCACGUAGGCGGAUUGUUAAGUCAGGGGUGAAAUCCCGGAGCUCAACUCCGGAACUGCCUUUGAUACUGGCGAUCUUGAGUCCGGGAGAGGUGAGUGGAACUGCGAGUGUAGAGGUGAAAUUCGUAGAUAUUCGCAAGAACACCAGUGGCGAAGGCGGCUCACUGGCCGGUACUGACGCUGAGGUGCGAAAGCGUGGGGAGCAACAGG